AGAGUGGAGGUUGGUGUCACUGUAGAUGACACAGUGGGGGUUGGUGUCACUGACGAUAAAAAAGUGGAGGUUGGUGUCACUGUUGAAGACACAGUGGUGCUAGGCGUCACUGUAGAUGACACAGUGGGGGUUGAUGUCACUGUAGAUGACAAAG